GUGAAAUGCGUAGAGAUCCGGAAGAACACCAAAGGCGAAGGCAGUGUCCUGGUUGGUACCUGACGCUCAGAGGCGACAGCUAGGGGAGCGAACGGGAUUAGAUACCCCGGUAGUCCUAGCCGUAAACGAUGACCACGAGAUGUCCGGGGGAUCGACCCCCUGGGUGUCGAAGCAAACGCAGUCAGUGGUCCGCCUGGGGAGUACGGUCGCAAGAUUAAAACUCAAAGGAAUUGACGGGGACCCGCACAAGCAGCGGAGCGUGUGGUUUAAUUCGAUGCAACGCGAAGCACCUUACCAGGGUUUGACAUGUCUUUGCACCUCUAGGAGACUAGAGUGCCCGCAAGGGACGGAGACACGGGUGCUGCAUGGCUGUCGUCAGCUCGUGCCGUGAGGUGUUGGGUUAAGUCCCGCAACGAGCGCAACCCUCAUUGCUAGUUGAACUUCUCUAGCGAGACUGCCACGAUCAACGUGGAGGAAGGUGGGGAUGACGUCAAGUCAGCACGGCCCUUACAUCCUGGGCGACACACACGCUACAAUGGCCGAGACAAAGAGUUGCGAACCGGCGACGGGGAGCUAAUCUCGUCAAACUCGGUCUCAGUUCAGAUUGCAGGCUGCAACCCGCCUGCAUGAAGUUGGAGUUGCUAGUAACCGUGAGUCAGCACAUCACGGUGAAUACGUUCCCGGGUCUUGUACACACCGCCCGUCACACCACGAAAGUCGGCAACCCCUGAAGCCGCUGGGCUAACUCGCAAGAGAGGCAAGCGUCGAGGGUGGGGUCGGUGAUUGGGGUGAAGUCGUAACAAGGUAACCGU
rnacentral:rRNA from 1 species